GCUGAAGCACACACAACGUGACGUUCUGUGAUCCCUGUGAAUGUUACCCAGAACUCAGCAUGACCUCAGCUCCUUCGUGGUGGACACGUGGCUCCAUAUGGAGACCAUGCUCUGCUUCUCUGUCAAAGGGGUCUUCAAGGAAGUGGAAGGAACAUUUCAGGGCUCUGUACGUGCCUUCACCCGGGCCUUCAUCACUACCCCUGCCAGUGGUUCCAG